rnacentral:misc_RNA from 1 species
GUUUAUCCUCGGAAGAAAAUCUAGAAACAAAUGACUUCACUUCACUGAUUAAAGAAAGAUCACAGACCUCAAGAUGGACAUUCGGGUUACCGGUAGUUGAUUGUAUUUUAGAAAGGGCAGCCUCACCCCUCUCUUUGUUGCGGCAGACCAUAUAAACAUUUGCUCCAUGUGAAGCAAGACCCUCUGCGGUUGCAUAUCCAAUGCCAGAAUUUGC